AAUUGCAGUCAGGUCCUGAUCGCGGGUGGCGAACCGUUUCGUGGCUGCUGCCGGGCCCACCCACCGUGCGCGUCCAACAAGGGGAAAAUUCUGCCCGUUGUCAGAUGAGGUGUCAUUGAAGGUCGGAGACCAAAGGGGUGACGGACCAGUUCGGAAGCCAUGUGUUCAGGCUCCAAUUGGGGGAUCAGGUUUUAGCAAUGGGUUUCUUACCAAUGGCACUUCUGACCCUGGAUUACUUCAAGGAGUUUGCACGUCUUGCUGCAGCCUGGAAUUUUAAAACGUUUAGUUCACCCCUGCAGGUUCUGUUGUCUCUGCACUCUGAAGCUGGACUUCCAAAGGAGAUUCAAUGAAGUCUUCUGCUGCGUUGAUGUUCAAGUUUGCAACUCCCCUAGCGCCACAAUUGUGAGCCAUAUGGGAGGUUGGUGGAACAGAAGCUGCAUCAUAGGCCAAGGGUUUACUUCCAGAUUUUGGAACCAUAGCUUUGAAUACUUGCACUGCCCAUUGGAUAAGUUUUCUCAUUUAUGCUGAUAUUUAUAUAAGAUAUACAGUACAGAUCAGGCCAUUUGGCCCAACUAUCCAUAAAUUAGAUGUUUAAAAAUAAAUAAGCUAGCAUCUUGAUGCAAUUGUACACAUUUAGUACAUGUAAGUUGAUGGAACAGUUGCAGCUUCUCACUCUGAUGCAGUCUUUUGGAGUUGUAAUAGUCUGUGCCACCCGAAAAGAGAAGCAAUAUCUUAAACAAUAGCCUAUUAUUGCUCCAGUAUCCUGUGCUUCAGAGUGACAGGAUUUGUUCUGACGUUCUCUCACAAGCCGAUCCUAACAUAGCUGACAGAUAAAUGAGCUACAACAACUUGCAUUAGCGCUUGUCCCAAGAAUGACCCAAGAGUCCAUGUGCUCAACAGAAGCCUGGGAGCAGGUCACCUGAGGCCCCCUCAAGCGAGCAUUGGUGGAUGACAUGAAACUGGUCAAGGGAAAAAUUACAUUUUAGAAAGGGACAAAAACUAGUGAAGGGCAGUCAAAAGACAAGGUAGUAAUGUUACCAUGAAUUAACAAGAAGAAAUCCAAAUUUUUAUAUUGUGAGACUCCCAAGAAAUUACACCACCACCCCCCCCAGCACCCACACACGCAUAGUUAACCAAUGUUUUGAGGUUCCCAGCAGACCAGACACAGAAGAUAUUAACUAGUUGUUAGACUUGAUUUAUAGAUAUAAUUUAAAGAGAAAAAAAAUCAGUUACUAUUUUGCCAAGUGUGAAUAUUCACAGGGCUUUGUUUAUUUGUUUUUGAAGUUGUAUAGUUUGUAUACCUGUAAAUAGUUCAUCACAUUGCAAAAAUGAAAAGGGGAAGCAAUGUUUUCAUGUUGUGAGCAUGCCCAGUGCAUGAAAAUGUCAUUAAACAUGCAAUCUGGCUAUUUUGGUGUUGGUCUCUCUUUACAAGUUCCUCUCAAUAGAUUUUAGUGAAGCAUUUGGAAUUAAAUACAAAAAUAUUUGCAUCAAAAUGCUGCAGAGAUUGUGAUGAACAAAAUAGUCUCAUUCCCAGUGAGUUAGCUGCUAGGAUAGCAAAUAUUUUGGCUGGGUUAUGCAAGGCCUGAGCUUCAAACUGUCUCCUCAGUGAAUGGGAUGCUGCAUGAUCCUAUUGUCAAUCGAUUUAACUACUGACUACACUGACAGUGACAAAUGCAACACAUCACCCCACCAACCCCUCUCAGGGCAGAUGCAACAAUAUCAAAAGAUAGAAAAACAUGGAUAAAUAAUAAGAAAUAACUUACAGAAUUCUCUCUCUUCAGGUGCCAUGCUUAAGAGGCCUUGGUGACUAUGGACCUCCAUGUUAACCUUGCUCUGGAGGCACGGAACAUCGUCAGUUUGCGAGGCUGUUUAAAAAGAUCAUCCUUUGUCUACCUCAAUCUCUUUUACCAUUGAUCCUUCCCAUCAGGCUUUCUAAAUCACGAUUUCUUAUUACAUGCCCUUAAUGCAUUAACCUCAUCAAGAAAAUCUCUCAUGAAGCUUCUCAGUAGCAAAGAGAAUGAAGCAAGAGUUCAAUAUCUUUGUUUUGUUCAACUAAAGACUGGGCAGUAUCAAAUUUCUGUGGGGAAGUUGCAGAGAAAAAGAGACCGAUUUUCAACUUGCUACCACAAUUUUCCAUUCAAGACCCUUUCUCUGUCAUGGAAUCCAUCACAGAGGUAGAGAAUUUCAAUCGAAAGGAACCUGAGGUGCAAUACCAUUGACUUUUGGAAAAGGUGAAUUACAUUCGAAAAAGGGACUGUCACCAGAAAUUGCAAUUUACAUCAGCCUCAGCCCCACUGGAACUUGAAGGCCACUAUGGAAAGAAUCUGCUGCAGCCACGAACACUAGUGAAGGACUCACUGUUUUCUUUUGCCUUUUAUCAUUGAAGCUUAAAUUCAGCCAAAAAAUAAAUUCCUACUGUAAAACUUGUAAUUUUGCAUGCUUGUGCUUGUGCAUGUGUGCUGCGAAGGUUGGGGUGUAAGUUUACCUUUUUAAAAAUAUCUUUAUAUCUUUACCUGGUUGGGUUUUUAGCUCAAUAAAAACUAAGUUUUAUAUUUAAACUUUAAAAA